UACGUAGGGGGCAAGCGUUGUCCGGAUUUAUUGGGCGUAAAGAGCGUGUAGGCGGCUAGGUAGGUCCGUUGUGAAAACUCGAGGCUUAACCUCGAGAUGUCGGCGGAAACCAUCUGGCUAGAGUCCGGAAGAGGAGAAUGGAAUUCCCGGUGUAGCGGUGAAAUGCGCAGAUAUCGGGAAGAACACCCGUGGCGAAGGCGGUUCUCUGGGACGGUACUGACGCUGAGACGCGAAAGCGUGGGGAGCGAACAGG
rnacentral:rRNA from 1 species